ACGGAGGAUGCGAGCGUUUCCGGAUUUAUUUGGUUUAAAGGGUGCGUAGGCGGGAAAAUAAGUCAGUGGUGAAAACCUUCAGCUUAACUGGAGACUUGCCAUUGAUACUGUUAUUCUUGAGUAUAGUUAAGGUAGGCGGAAUGUGUAAUGUAGCGGUGAAAUGCUUAGAUAUUACACAGGACACCAAUUGCGAAGGCAGCUUACUGAGCUAUAACUGACGCUGAUGCACGAAAGCGUGGGGAGCGAACAG
rnacentral:rRNA from 1 species